GACGAACGCUGGCGGCGUGCUUAACACAUGCAAGUCGAACGGAAAGGCCCUGCUUUUGUGGGGUGCUCGAGUGGCGAACGGGUGAGUAACACGUGAGUAACCUGCCCUUGACUUUGGGAUAACUUCAGGAAACUGGGGCUAAUACCGGAUAGGAGCUCCUGCUGCAUGGUGGGGGUUGGAAAGUUUCGGCGGUUGGGGAUGGACUCGCGGCUUAUCAGCUUGUUGGUGGGGUAGUGGCUUACCAAGGCUUUGACGGGUAGCCGGCCUGAGAGGGUGACCGGCCACAUUGGGACUGAGAUACGGCCCAGACUCCUACGGGAGGCAGCAGUGGGGAAUAUUGCACAAUGGGCGGAAGCCUGAUGCAGCAACGCCGCGUGCGGGAUGACGGCCUUCGGGUUGUAAACCGCUUUCGCCUGUGACGAAGCGUGAGUGACGGUAAUGGGUAAAGAAGCACCGGCUAACUACGUGCCAGCAGCCGCGGUGAUACGUAGGGUGCGAGCGUUGUCCGGAUUUAUUGGGCGUAAAGGGCUCGUAGGUGGUUGAUCGCGUCGGAAGUGUAAUCUUGGGGCUUAACCCUGAGCGUGCUUUCGAUACGGGUUGACUUGAGGAAGGUAGGGGAGAAUGGAAUUCCUGGUGGAGCGGUGGAAUGCGCAGAUAUCAGGAGGAACACCAGUGGCGAAGGCGGUUCUCUGGGCCUUUCCUGACGCUGAGGAGCGAAAGCGUGGGGAGCGAACAGGCUUAGAUACCCUGGUAGUCCACGCUGUAAACGGUGGGUACUAGGUGUGGGGUCCAUUCCACGGGUUCCGUGCCGUAGCUAACGCUUUAAGUACCCCGCCUGGGGAGUACGGCCGCAAGGCUAAAACUCAAAGGAAUUGACGGGGCCCCGCACAAGCGGCGGAGCAUGCGGAUUAAUUCGAUGCAACGCGUAGAACCUUACCUGGGUUUGACAUGGAUCGGGAGUGCCCAGAGAUGGGUGUGCCUCUUUUGGGGUCGGUUCACAGGUGGUGCAUGCCUGUCGUCAGCUCGUGUCGUGAGAUGUUGGGUUAAGUCCCGCAACGAGCGCAACCCUUGUUCACUGUUGCCAGCACGUUAUGGUGGGGACUCAGUGGAGACCGCCGGGGUCAACUCGGAGGAAGGUGGGGAUGACGUCAAGUCAUCAUGCCCCUUAUGUCCAGGGCUUCACGCAUGCUACAAUGGCUGGUACAGAGAGUGGCAAGCCUGUGAGGGUGAGCGAAUCUCGGAAAGCCGGUCUCAGUUCGGAUUGGGGUCUGCAACUCGACCUCAUGAAGUCGGAGUCGCUAGUAAUCGCAGAUCAGCAACGCUGCGGUGAAUACGUUCCCGGG
rnacentral:rRNA from 1 species